rnacentral:rRNA from 1 species
GAUGAACGCUGGCGGCGUGCCUAAUACAUGCAAGUCGAGCGAACGGACGAGAAGCUUGCUUCUCUGAUGUUAGCGGCGGACGGGUGAGUAACACGUGGAUAACCUACCUAUAAGACUGGGAUAACUUCGGGAAACCGGAGCUAAUACCGGAUAAUAUUUUGAACCGCAUGGUUCAAAAGUGAAAGACGGUCUUGCUGUCACUUAUAGAUGGAUCCGCGCUGCAUUAGCUAGUUGGUAAGGUAACGGCUUACCAAGGCAACGAUGCAUAGCCGACCUGAGAGGGUGAUGGGCCACACUGGAACUGAGACACGGUCCAGACUCCUACGGGAGGCAGCAGUAGGGAAUCUUCCGCAAUGGGCGAAAGCCUGACGGAGCAACGCCGAGUGAGUGAUGAAGGUCUUCGGAUCGUAAAACUCUGUUAUUAGGGAAGAACAUAUGUGUAAGUAACUGUGCACAUCUUGACGGUACCUAAUCAGAAAGCCACGGCUAACUACGUG